GGUUAAGCGAACAAGCGUACACGGUGGAUGCCCUGGCAGUCAGAGGCGAUGAAGGACGUGCUAAUCUGCGAAAAGCGCCGGUAAGGUGAUAUGAACCGUUAUAACCGGCGAUGUCCGAAUGGGGAAACCCGGUGCACUUCGGUGCAUCAUCGUUAGCUGAAUACAUAGGCUAACGAGGCGAACCGGGGGAACUGAAACAUCUAAGUACCCCGAGGAAAAGAAAUCAACCGAGAUUCCCCCAGUAGCGGCGAGCGAACGGGGAACAGCCCAGAGCCUGAAUCAGCUUGUGUGUCAGUGGAACGGUCUGGAAAGGCCGGCGAUACAGGGUGACAGCCCCGUACACGAAGGCACACAGGCUGUGAGCUCGAUGAGUAGGGCGGGACACGUGAUAUCCUGUCUGAAGAUGGGGGGACCAUCCUCCAAGGCUAAAUACUCCUGACUGACCGAUAGUGAACCAGUACCGUGAGGGAAAGGCGAAAAGAACCCCGGCGAGGGGAGUGAAACAGAACCUGAAACCGUGUACGUACAAGCAGUGGGAGCCUUCGUAAGAGGGUGACUGCGUACCUUUUGUAUAAUGGGUCAGCGACUUAUAUUCUGUAGCAAGGUUAACCGUAUAGGGGAGCCGAAGGGAAACCGAGUCUUAACCGGGCGUUAAGUUGCAGGGUAUAGACCCGAAACCCGGUGAUCUAGCCAUGGGCAGGUUGAAGGUUGGGUAACACUAACUGGAGGACCGAACCGACUAAUGUUGAAAAAUUAGCGGAUGACCUGUGGCUGGGGGUGAAAGGCCAAUCAAACCGGGAGAUAGCUGGUUCUCCCCGAAAGCUAUUUAGGUAGCGCCUCGUGAAUUCAUCUCCGGGGGUAGAGCACUGUUUCGGCUAGGGGGCCAUCCCGGCUUACCAACCCGAUGCAAACUGCGAAUACCGGAGAAUGUUAUCACGGGAGACACACGGCGGGUGCUAACGUCCGUCGUGAAGAGGGAAACAACCCAGACCGCCAGCUAAGGUCCCAAAGUCAUGGUUAAGUGGGAAACGAUGUGGGAAGGCCCAGACAGCCAGGAUGUUGGCUUAGAAGCAGCCAUCAUUUAAAGAAAGCGUAAUAGCUCACUGGUCGAGUCGGCCUGCGCGGAAGAUGUAACGGGGCUAAACCAUGCACCGAAGCUGCGGCAGCGACACUAUGUGUUGUUGGGUAGGGGAGCGUUCUGUAAGCCUGUGAAGGUGUGCUGUGAGGCAUGCUGGAGGUAUCAGAAGUGCGAAUGCUGACAUAAGUAACGAUAAAGCGGGUGAAAAGCCCGCUCGCCGGAAGACCAAGGGUUCCUGUCCAACGUUAAUCGGGGCAGGGUGAGUCGACCCCUAAGGCGAGGCCGAAAGGCGUAGUCGAUGGGAAACAGGUUAAUAUUCCUGUACUUGGUGUUACUGCGAAGGGGGGACGGAGAAGGCUAUGUCGGCCGGGCGACGGUUGUCCCGGUUUAAGCGUGUAGGCUGACUUUCCAGGCAAAUCCGGAAGGUUAAGGCUGAGGCGUGAUGACGAGGCACCACGGUGCUGAAGUGACAAAUGCCCUGCUUCCAGGAAAAGCCUCUAAGCAUCAGGUAACAUCAAAUCGUACCCCAAACCGACACAGGUGGUCAGGUAGAGAAUACCAAGGCGCUUGAGAGAACUCGGGUGAAGGAACUAGGCAAAAUGGUGCCGUAACUUCGGGAGAAGGCACGCUGACAUGUAGGUGAAGCCCCUGCGGGUGGAGCUGAAGUCAGUCGAAGAUACCAGCUGGCUGCAACUGUUUAUUAAAAACACAGCACUGUGCAAACACGAAAGUGGACGUAUACGGUGUGACGCCUGCCCGGUGCCGGAAGGUUAAUUGAUGGGGUUAUCGCAAGAGAAGCUCCUGAUCGAAGCCCCGGUAAACGGCGGCCGUAACUAUAACGGUCCUAAGGUAGCGAAAUUCCUUGUCGGGUAAGUUCCGACCUGCACGAAUGGCGUAAUGAUGGCCAGGCUGUCUCCACCCGAGACUCAGUGAAAUUGAACUCGCUGUGAAGAUGCAGUGUACCCGCGGCAAGACGGAAAGACCCCGUGAACCUUUACUACAGCUUGACACUGAACAUUGAGCCUUGAUGUGUAGGAUAGGUGGGAGGCUUUGAAGCGUGGACGCCAGUCUGCGUGGAGCCGACCUUGAAAUACCACCCUUUAAUGUUUGAUGUUCUAACCUGGCGCCGUGAUCCGGCGUGGGGACAGUGUCUGGUGGGUAGUUUGACUGGGGCGGUCUCCUCCCAAAGUGUAACGGAGGAGCACGAAGGUCAGCUAAUCCUGGUCGGACAUCAGGAGGUUAGUGCAAUGGCAUAAGCUGGCUUGACUGCGAGAGUGACGGCUCGAGCAGGUGCGAAAGCAGGUCAUAGUGAUCCGGUGGUUCUGUAUGGAAGGGCCAUCGCUCAACGGAUAAAAGGUACUCCGGGGAUAACAGGCUGAUACCGCCCAAGAGUUCAUAUCGACGGCGGUGUUUGGCACCUCGAUGUCGGCUCAUCACAUCCUGGGGCUGAAGUAGGUCCCAAGGGUAUGGCUGUUCGCCAUUUAAAGUGGUACGCGAGCUGGGUUUAGAACGUCGUGAGACAGUUCGGUCCCUAUCUGCCGUGGGCGCUGGAGAAUUGAGGGGGGCUGCUCCCAGUACGAGAGGACCGGAGUGGACGCAUCACUGGUGUUCGGGUUGUCAUGCCAAUGGCACUGCCCGGUAGCUAAAUGCGGAAGAGAUAAGUGCUGAAAGCAUCUAAGCACGAAACUUGCCCCGAGAUGAGUUCUCCCUGAGACUGUAAGUCUCCUGAAGGAACGUUGAAGACGACGACGUUGAUAGGCCGGGUGUGUAAGCGCAGCGAUGCGUUGAGCUAACCGGUACUAAUGAACCGUGAGGCUUAACCUU
rnacentral:rRNA from 1 species